GACAGAGGGUGCGAACGUUGCUCGGAAUUACUGGGCGUAAAGGGCUCGUAGGCGGCCAACUAAGUCGGAUGUGAAAUCCCCAGGCUCAACUUGGGAACUGCAUCCGAUACUGGAUGGCUUGAAUCCGGGAGAGGGAUGCAGAAUUCCAGGUGUAGCGGUGAAAUGCGUAGAUAUCUGGAGGAAUACCGGUGGCGAAGGCGGCAUCCUGGACCGGCAUUGACGCUGAUGAGCGAAAGCUAGGGGAGCAAACGGG
rnacentral:rRNA from 1 species